GGUUUUAUAGUGUAGCGGUCAGCACGUGAGAUUCUGAUUCUCGAGACCCCGGUUCGAAUCCGGGUAAGACCU
rnacentral:tRNA from 1 species